ACUUUAAAGUUAAAUAAGCUAAAAAAAUGGCUAGAUGAUGAUAAUAUCGUGUGUGCUAAAGAUGAUAAGAGUAAGAUGAUAGUUCUUAUCAAGAAAGAAACUUAUGACUCUUUUAUUAAUGAAUUUAUUGAAAAUAACAAUUGUGAACAACUACAUUAUGACUCCACUGAGGCAAUUAAUAAUGAAAUGAGAAAAAUUAUGAAUGAUACCCGUCUGUCUGGCUUCUUGAAAAGCUCUAUAGUUAAGUCACCUAGACCCCCAAGACUCUUUGCAUUCAUUAAAAGGCAUAAAAACCCUCUUGAAGCUCGCCCUGUUGUAGAAAAACACUCGGCACCAACAUACCUACUAGGAAAAUGACUGGCCAAUUGGUGUUAUCAGAAAUUAAGAAAUUAUGAGUUUUUCACCACAUCCUCGAAAGACUUUAUAGAUAACCUAUUAGAAACUGGUCCUCUACUGGACCAAAUUAUGCAAAUAUAUGAUUUCAAAGCUUUAUAUCCAUCUAUUCGCCUAGAACCAGCAUGCUUACUUUUAUAUAGGUUCCUUCUCCAUCAUUUGCCUAUUAAUAUUUGUAAACCAGACAUCCUGUGGCAAAUAUGUCAUCUUAUUGUACAUAAAUCUUAUUUUGUAUUUGAUGGUAAAACAAACAAUAG
rnacentral:lncRNA from 1 species